GACAGAGGUCUCGAGCGUUAGGCGGAAUCAUUGGGCGUAAAGCGCACGUAGGCGGCUUGCCAAGUCGGACGUGAAAUCCCUCAGCUCAACUGAGGACGUGCAUCCGAAACUGGCGAGCUUGAGUACUGAAGAGGAUCGCGGAAUUCCCGGUGUAGGGGUGAAAUUCGUAGAUAUCGGGAGGAACACCAGUGGCGAAGGCGGCGAUCUGGGCAGAUACUGACGCUGAGGUGCGAAAGCGUGGGGAGCAAACAGG
rnacentral:rRNA from 1 species